rnacentral:sRNA from 1 species
UCGGAAAAAGAAGAAGGAUUU